CCUGGGCUCACCCCUGCCCUGUGCCCACCGUGCAGAGCCUGGCCCCACCGUGGUCCCGUGCAGGGGCACGGGAACGAGUGCAGUGCUGAGCAUGAACCAACUUGGGUGCUCUUCUCCAGGGGCCCGUCACGUGCUCUGGUCCAUCCCUGCCAAGAAUUCCUCUCAGUUUAAAGGGCUGGGGCUGGGGCAUGGCCACGGGAGCCGUCCAGGGCUAACUGGGGAGCCCAGAAGCCAGCCCAGAGCCCAGCUGAGCCGCUCCCUGGAGCCCUGGGGCUGUGAGCUCCCUGAGGGCCGUGUGCAGAGGGACACACCUCAGACGGCUCCUAGGGACCACGGUUCCCGGUGACCAUGUUUAGCAGUGGGUAACUGAAUCCAUGGAAAAUGAAACCUUGGACAAGGGUGGUUUCUGUACCUGUGCCUUCUCUCGAGCUUCUUUCUAACACCCUGCCUCCAUCCGCCAUCUUGGUGUCCUGUUCGUCACGUCCCAGGGCA